CAAGCUGUUUUAAGGCUUAUCCUUUAUUUCCCGUUUCUAAACUUACUCUGUCAGGCACUAAGUCUGUAAUCUCGCGAGAUUUGCCGCGAGAUUUUCCCACGAGACUUCCGGUGAGAUUUCAACAAGUAUGGCCGCUCACUGUUGUAUGUAGCAUGGGCUGGUGUCUGUAUGGAGCUGCUGCAGAAACUUCUACCAACCGAGGGUUGAUGUAUUUUUGAGCCCUGUGAGACUCUCUAAAACCGGAACUGGCCAGGUUCCUUUGUUUCCAUAUAUUGGGUGGCGAGCUAGAGACAGGCCUCGUGCCUCUGCCUGGAAGGAAGCGACUGCAACUCCCAUCAGUGUGGUAGGAGGCACUGCAGCUCGUUUUUCUCAACCCACAUACAGCCAUUUACUUACCUUUCAAUAUCAUUCAAUUCUUGGUUCACAAUCAACUUUCUUUUUUUGUUACAAUAAUACAGUUUUGUGGGACUAUAUGAAGUGGAAAUUGCAGACCACAGUUUAACACAGUUUGAACUGGCUUGUUUGUACUUUUUGUGUGCAACUGUAAAUAUUGUAAAUAUUUUCCUUUUUCAUAUAUUACACCAAUUUUUGCACCUGAA